GUGAUUCUGCUCAGAUCCUCAUCACCCCCAGAGUCUAACUACAUGACUUUGAUGAAUCUGAUCCCUUAUGAAUGAUCAGCAUGUAGGUUAAAGUGACUGUCUGUUUGUUUCUCUUCCAGGAUUUCCAGUUUCCACUGUGAUCACUGUGUCUGUAAUUCUGCUGCUGCUUCUGAUUGGAAUCAUAUUACUCACUUUGACUCUACAAAAGAGAUGCAGUAAGCAAGGUACAGCUGCUAGUGACCAGUGUUCUGUCCAAAACUCAGGAAAUGACCAAGAGGUUCCUCUUGAUGUCUGUGAGUACGAGGAGAUUAAUGACACCAGACGACUUUCUGCCUCAGACGGUGGAUCUUCUUCAGUUUACUCUAAUGCUCAACUACCCACAAUCCCCUCUGAUCCUUCUCAAACUGUUUAUGCAAACACAGAAUUACCCACAAUCCCCUGUGAUUCUGCUGUUUAUUCUACUGCUCAACGACCCACAAUCCCCUCUGAUCAGGACAUCUACUCCACAGCUCAGUUACCCACACGUCUCUCGACUGAGAAAUCUGAUGAAGGUCUGACUUAGGCAGCAGUGAGUUUUCACUCCAGGGCCACCAGCUCUAAUGAUGCAGUUCCACAGAUUAAGGAAGAC
ensembl:lncRNA